UUACCAGACCGGGCCCCUCUGGCAGCUUCUUUCGGGCUGUGAUGUCGGACUGGAAGU
rfam:Chelativorans sp. BNC1, complete genome.